CGCGUAGGCGGCCACCGCAAGUCAGUUGUGAAAGCUCUGGGCUUAACCCAGAAAGGUCAACUGAUACUGCGGGGCUAGAGUGCAGAAGGGGCAACUGGAAUUCUCGGUGUAGCGGUGAAAUGCGUAGAUAUCGAGAGGAACACCUGCGGCGAAGGCGGGUUGCUGGGCUGACACUGACGCUGAUGUGCGAAAGCUAGGUGAGCGAACG
rnacentral:rRNA from 1 species